GGUGUCUUCCCAUAGAAAGUUAUAUAAUAUUUUUGCACGUUGAUCAUCUGACCAGAUGCAUCUUCAUACUUUUGCAAGAUUUGCUUCAGAGUUUCACACGCACGAGAGAUGUUUUGCGAAAAACAAUUGUGUCAUCCGCAAAGAAGUCCCGCGAGUACUUCCCCACAUAGAAUGAAUAUGUACGGUGAAAAUGGGUUGUCUUGACGAAUUCCAUGAUGAGGUUGUACAUAUCCUUUUGCAGAUCCGUUUAUAAGGUAGGAGUAGGAGACUGAGGUGAUACAUUGCAUAAUCCAUUGGAUCCAAAGGUAGUGGAAACCGAGCUUUGUAAGGACUGAUUUGAUGAAGCUCCACUCAAGUCGGUCAUACGAUUUGCUCAUGUCGGUUUUAACCGCCAUGGCACAGUGUUUUUUUGCUCCAGAUCUUUUGAGGAAGUACAUAUUUUCGUGAGUUAUCAUCACGUUGUCAGAAAUUGCUCUUCCCGGCACAAAGGCGGAUUGGGACUCAGAAAUGACAGAAUGUAGAACCGGUUGAAGACGCCUCGUAAGGAUCUUGGAGAAAAUUUUAUAGAUCACAUUGCAGAGAGCAAUUGGUCUAUAAUCUACAACCGAUUAGGGAGCACUGCCCUUUGGGAUCAAUCUAACAAAUGUGUGAUUGAGCGAAGCUGGUAGAUGUCCUGACAUGAAGUAGUUUUGAAUCUCAGUGGUAAUGGUGGGGCCGAUUGUUUUUCAAUUGGUUUGGAAGAAUUCAGAAGAAAAACCUUCUCGACCUGGUGCUUUGUCCGGAUGGAUUGAGAAGAGAGCAACUCUUAUUAUUCUUUCUGUUGGAGUUUCUAUCAGUCUCCUAUUUGUGCUCUCUGAGAUGCAAUGUUUGAGUGAUUUUUCUACUGUUUCCUUGCAGUUUGAUGCAUUGGAGAUGAAGAGGGACUGGAAGUAGUUGCAGAUGACCUUGGAUAUUUCAGCCUCUUCGAACACAGGUUUUCCCUCAACAUUCUCUAUCACAGAGAAUUUGUUGACUGUUCUUCUGUUCCUCGUAGUUGCGUGAGAAAAACCGAAUUUUUGGUCACCCAAAGAGAGUCACAAGAGCAUACUCCUUUUUUUCUAAGUUGGGCUCAAAGUAUGUAACCAACGGUCGGUGAUCAGAUCCCUCGAAUCUGUAGUAGUGGCAUCUUCCUGAUGGAAACUUCUCAGCCUAAAAGCUAUUAGAGAGGGAGUGAUCUAAGCGGCAGUGGACGAGAUGAAUAUUCAUUAUUCCUCUCCAAGAAAAGGUGUUCCCUGAGUGUCUGAGUUCAACAGGUCGCAGCGAGAUAACAGUGCUCUGAAUUCGCAGAAAGACCCUUCAUCUCUCUCAGGUCCCCCUUUCUUCUCAGUAUUAUCUAUAAUUUCAUUAAAGUCUCCCAUUAGGAGCGUCGCGAGUAGUCGAGAUAUUUUCUAGUUGAUUCCAAACUGAUUUUCUUUUAGUCUGAUCCGGCUCACCAUAUACGAAAGUAGUGUAAAACUUGUGUUGAUUGUAAGAGAUAGAUGUGUCAAUAUAGUUAUGGCACGAUGAAAGAAUUUCCAACAAAAUAUUUUGGUUCCAGUACGAAGCAAGCACACACCUCCUGGACUGUGUGGUGAGACCAAAAAAUGAGAAGAGAAGUUCAUCCAUUCAAGAUUUUUCAACAAAAAGUCAUCAGAGUUUUUUGUUUCAAUGAGAAAAAGGAUGUCAGGGAGGAUUGAUUUGUGCACCUCCCUAAUACUCUAGACUGUUGUGGGAUUCCCCAAACCACAACAGUUCCAGCUAACCGCUUUUAAGGAAGCGGCGCUGGAGGGUCCCAAAAAUCCGGUCUUCCUUUGGAGAUAGCAGGAAUGAUUGUGACACUUGGUUGAAUUCUACUUGUAGAAGCAUCCUUAUUCGAGGUGGGGAUGAUUCUCUUUUAUCGAGCAGCGGAAAUAGGGCUCCUCAAGGUUGUGACUGAUGUAGCUUUAACCGAUUUGCAGAGAUUUGGCUAGAUGAAGAUUGUCGUGCUACAUGGCUAUUAAUGUUUGCUCUACGGAGAGGGGGUCUAUGUAACACCCGUGUUUGGAAAAAAUUACCAAGUUGGAAAAUUUGGUUAAGGGAUUUAUGGAAAAUGUAAGGCAGAAAUGGAGAAAAACCAGGGGGUUAACUGAGGAAAGUCGGAAAAUGAGUUUAGCCGGGUGAAACUGGGUUCAGUAUGGUGAUUUCGAGCUAAGUCCAGCUUUUUGCCGAGUUAAAUCGAGUUUUGCCGAGCUAAAAUCAGUUGGCUGCGAUUUUCGAAAAGUUUAGCUGAGAAAUUCCGACAAGCCAAGUUUUUUGGAACUUGGUCGGAAUUCAGAUAAGGUUGGUCCGGAACAGACAGCCUUUGUCAUGAACGGUUGCGCGCGGAAGCGGUUAUCGGGUAAAAACGCGCUAAUGCAUAAGCGCGGGAACGGUUAUGGAUUUUAGCCGAGUAAGCGAUAGCGCGAGAUAUGAUUAUCAGUCGUGCGGAAUCACGCGCGGGAGCGGUUUUUAGCCGAGAGGGUGUGGAUUGUUGCAGGAACGGUUUCUGGGCGGUUUUCUUCGAGAAAUCGUGUGAGCGCCUAUAUAAUAAAGGCCUCUCGAUCAUUUUCUCUUCUUCGUGCGACCAAAGAACACAGAAAGAUUGAGAGAAACAGUUUUAAGAGAAGUUAGUCGAGAGAAUCUCUGUUUAGCCGAGCGAUACCGGAUUCUACACGAGAGUGAGUGCGAUCCUGCCGAGCGUGAUCCGGAUUCUGCCGAGCGAUCGUGGGAACGAAUCUGAUCGACCGCGAGUUCUGUCUUUACCGAAUCUGGCCGAUAAAAGCUAAGGUGAGUGCGUGAUCGUAGCCUUGUUUGGUCGUAUUCUUGCUUAGACUCUAGUCGGUUGCGUGUAUAUUCUGUGUUUGUCAUGAUAUUUCUGCUGGCUAUGCCGUGAUGAUCGAUCCACCUUAACGGCGAUAGGGAUCAGUCAAGGCGCUCUCGGCUAAGAUGCUCGCCGAGGCUUGUCUGGUUGCUGGAUGAUCGGCCGGGUAAGCGUGUAUGGUUAUGCGCGGGUAGUUUUCUGUUCUUAUGAGCAUUGGGCUCGAUCUUUGUUUGAUGCGAUUAUACUUUGGCUCGGUGAGACGGGAUGACCGCUCUCACUAAGCAGUUCUGUUUGCUUAUGCCUCAUUUGUGGAUGCAGGUAAAGAAGUCUGAUCAGCGCGCGGACUAUGGCUGGAACGGAAUGGAUGGUAGGAUCGAGUAGUUAAGGUCUUAGUCGAUGUAAUAGAUUAUAUGCGAGCAAUCAUUGUACUGAGAACCUCGAUUUAAUUCAAGUAUUCUGUUUUUAA